UGCACUACUUGAGAGUGGCGAACGGGUGAGUAACACGUAGGUGAUCUAUCUUUGGAUUGGGGAUAGCCUGUGGAAACACAGGGUAAUACCGGAUACGACCUGGGAGCUGUGGCUUCCGGGGGAAAGGCCCUAAGGGGUCGUCCGAAGCUGAGCCUGCGGUCCAUUAGCUAGUUGGUGUGGUAAAGGCGCACCAAGGCGACGAUGGAUAGCCGGCCUGAGAGGGUGCUCGGCCACACUGGGACUGAGACACGGCCCAGACUCCUACGGGAGGCAGCAGCUAAGAAUCUUCCGCAAUGGGCGAAAGCCUGACGGAGCGACGCCGCGUGAACGAUGAAGGCCGUGAGGUUGUAAAGUUCUUUUCCUGGGGGAGAAUAACGGCCGGAGGGAAUGCCGGUUGGAUGACGUGAACCAGGGAAUAAGCCCCGGCUAAUUACGUGCCAGCAGCCGCGGUAACACGUAAGGGGCAAGCGCUGUUCGGAUUUAUUGGGCGUAAAGGGCGUGUAGGCGGUAGUGCAAGUCUGGUGUGAAAUACCCCGGCUCAACCGGGGAGACGCGCUGGAAACUGUGCUGCUUGAGUUUAGGAGGGGGAGCUGGAAUUCCUGGUGUAGGGGUGAAAUCUGUAGAGAUCAGGAAGAACACCGGUGGCGAAGGCGAGCUCCUGGCCAUAGACUGACGCUGAGGCGCGAAAGCGUGGGGAGCGAACAGGAUUAGAUACCCUGGUAGUCCACGCUGUAAACGAUGUGCACUAAGUGUCGGGACUGAUGAAAGUCUCGGUGCCGUAGCUAACGCGGUAAGUGCACCGCCUGGGGAGUGUGCUCGCAAGGGUGAAACUCAAAGGAAUUGACGGGGGCCCGCACAAGCGGUGGAGCAUGUGGUUUAAUUCGAUGAUACGCGAGAAACCUUACCAGGGCUUGACAUGACCGUGACGGCUGUAGAGA
rnacentral:rRNA from 1 species